rfam:Candidate divison MSBL1 archaeon SCGC-AAA833K04 AAA833K04_Contig_0_C, whole genome shotgun sequence.
GACUGCUGGAGUAAGGGUGUAGGGGGUAAGCUCCUGCUCCGAAAGAGGAAUAACUCAGACUGAGGUUAAGGCCCCUAAAUGCCGGCUAAGUUGUGAACAGAAAGGGAGUCUUUGUCCUCAGACAGCGGGGAGGUAGGCUUAGAAGCAGCCACCCUUUAAACAUAGCGUAACAGCUGACCCGUUGAGGGCGAAGGCCCCUAAAAUGGAAGGGGCUAAGCCGGCUGCCGAUACCCCAGAGCAGGUGAAGUAACAGUAGCCUGAUCUAGUAGGGAGGCGUUCGGCGAGGAUAGAAGUACGGUUGUAAGAUCGUGUGGACCUCGUUGGAACGAGAAUCCUGGCAGUAGUAGCAGCAAAGUAGGGUGCGAAUCCCUACCGCCGAAGGGGCCUGGGUUCCUCGGCAAUGCUCGUCAGCUGAGGGUUAGCCGGUCCUAAGCUCACCCUCAAUAAGAAGUGAGCGAAAGGGAAACGGGUUAAUAUUCCCGUGCCACCUGAGUACCUGCGGCAACGCUAGGCCUAACUCUCAACGCUUUAAGGUAUGUUGAGUAGGGUCAUCACCCUAUCUAACCGUUAAAGCCUGGGGAGAGCCGUAAUGGCGAGAACCAGGUGAAGGCGGGAAUAGCUCGCUAAAUGGCGAGUUCGACAGAGCCUUAGAGCCCAUGAAAAGAGAAUUAGGAAUUGGGAUCUCAGGUGACCGUACCUAGAACUGACACAGGUGCCCCUAGGUAAGCAGCCUGAGGCGUGUCGGAACACUCCAGGCUAGGGAAAUCGGCAAACUAGCCCCGUGACCUCGGACGAAGGGGUGCCUACCUCUCGCAGAGGUAGGUCGCAGUGACCAGGAGAGGCCGACUGUUUAAUAAAAACGUAGCCAAUCGCUAGUCCGUAAGGAUGAGUACGGUUGGUGAAUCCUGCCCAGUGGCGGCUUGUCAAGCUGGGUUACAACCUAGUGAAGCGCCGCUAGACGGCGGGGGUAACUAUAACCCUCUUAAGGUAGCGAAGUGCCUUGCCGCUCAAUUGGCGGCCUGCAUGAAUGGAUCAACGAGCCUCUCGCUGUCCCAGCCUGGAUUCCGGUGAACCUACUAACUGGUGCAGAUGCCAGAGACUCCUGGAGGGAAGCGAAGACCCCGUGGAGCUUUACUGCAGUCUGCUGUUGGAGUUGGGUUUCUAGUGUAGAGCGUAGGCGGGAGCCAUCGAAGCCAGGUCGCAAGGCCUGGUAGAGGCGCCAAUGUAACACCGCCCAUUAGCGACCGUGCUCCUAACUGUUUCGGCAGGACCCCAGCAGAUGGGCAGUUUCGCUGGGGCGGCAGCCUCUCGAAAAGUUAUCGAGAGGGCCCAAAGGUCAGCUUAGACGGGUCAGAAAUCCGUCGUAAAGGGCAAGGCCAAAAGCUGGCCUAACUGUGUUAUCACUCUCGGAUAACGCAGGGGCGAAAGCCGGGCCUAGCGAACCCCGAGGUCCCUCUUGAUGGGGGUUCGGGAUGACGGAAAAGCUACCCCGGGGAUAACAGAGUUGUCACGGGCAAGAGUCCGUAUCGACCCCGUGGCUUGCUACCUCGAUGUCGGUUCUUCGCAUCCUGGCCGUGCAGCAGCGGCCAAGGGUAGGGUUGUUCGCCCGUUAAAGCGGAUCGUGAGCUGGGUUUAGACCGUCGUGAGACAGGUCAGACGCUAUCUUCCAGGAGUGACGGAUGCUUGAGGGGAAGGUAGCCUCAGUACGAGAGGAACGGGCUGUCGGCGCCACUAGUGUACCAGUUAUCCGAUAGGGUACAGCUGGGUAGCCACGCGCCAGUCGAUAAGGCCUGAAAGCAUCUAAGGCCGAAGCGACUCCCAAAAAUAAGCAUCCAAUCCUGAUCAUCAUCUUGGGACUGGCGACAGUCACAAUCAAUCAGGACGAGGACAGGGACUAGAAGAUCCCGUUGAUGGACUGGGGGUGUAAGCGCGAAGCCUCGGCGACGCGUUCAGCCCACCAGCACCAAUAGUCCAAGGUGCCAGACUU